UACGAAGGGGGCUAGCGUUGUUCGGAAUACUGGGCGUAAAGCGUGCGCAGAUGGUUGCGUAAGUCAGAUGUGAAAGCCCCGGGCUCAACCUGGGAAUUGCAUUUGAGACUGCGUAGCUAGGGUGCGGAAGAGGGAAGCGGAAUUUCCGGUGUAGCGGUGAAAUGCGUAGAUAUCGGGAGGAACACCAGUGGCGAAGGCGGCUUUCUGGCCUGUUCUUGACGCUG
rnacentral:rRNA from 1 species